UUUCUUUCAAUCGUAAAAUUUCUAAAAACCUAAGCAUCAUCCACCGCUGAAGAACACCGCCGACCCGCCGUUGAGAGUUGCUUCCGACGCCGAUGCAUCAUUUCUGUCGACUCACUAAAGCAAAGUAAAAAGUAGUGAAGGCUCUGCCUUCGUUCUCUCUUCCUUUCACUUUAUUACUUUUCUCGAAUACGAUUACCAACGAAUCUGGAUACGUCUUCCGUCUUCGCCGGAUUGGAUGCGUUAAGCGCUUGUAGGAUCAAAUAUUAGUGUUCUAGAGGUUUUGGGGACAAAGUUGCAGCAAUUAUAGAGCUCUGACCUCACACGUGUGUUUACCUUUCACUUUCUUAUGUAUCUCCUGGUUCAUUUCAAUUGCUCCUUCGCCAUGACCGCCAUUGCUCUGUUUAGAUUGGUUUGCUCUGCAUUGUACAAUGACGCUGAUGGCGAGGGCAAAUAUCUUCCCCAUUUUCCCCAGUUUGUCGUUGCAAACCCACUCUCAGUCAGGACCCAGGUUGGAGUUGUAAAGGGUACUAUGUUUGUAGAGGUCUGCAUUGAGAACCAUACAAAAGCAGACCUCUUUAUGGAUUAAGUUGAUUUUGAACCUGCUAAGCAAUGGAGUGCUGUGAGAUUACAAAAUGAAGACCACAAAAACCAGCUCAGAGCCACAGAGGAAAUGUAUCUCCCAGCAAGUAUGAAGUUCAAACAAAUAUCGCGCAAGAACUUAUCUGAAAACUUCUCUGAGAUUACAAAAUGAAAACUUUCACAGAAGUUACCCCAACCAGGUAUGUCAGAUUUUCACAGAUUCGUUAUCAAAGUUUUAAACUUAUCAUAGAUUUGCAUAUCUGAUGAUGCUUCCUUAAAAUGAUUUUUGUAGUGUUGUGUCUAUUUCUUUACGCCAAAGAUAUAAAGCUGUUGCGUACUUGUCCGUCUUCCUUUCUAUUUACUUUUAAAAGGACUCUCAAUAUCAAACUUUUGUUGAUAAAUACAUCAAUGCUGCAGUUUUUAUAAACUACUUACUUGCUGUAAUUUUAAACGGUCUGUAUCGUCUCUCUAAACUGUUCAGGCAGGACCUCCAUGUCUGAAUGGUAAUUGAAUUGCUGGUGCUUUUGCUAGAUUAAAAUAGCUAAAGAUGAGUUAGACGACAACAACGGUUGAGAGUGAUGAUGGUAUGGUCCCAAAAAUGGCACAAAUAUCUUCCAAUUUAGGUGGGGUGGUCAUUUAUUUUAGUUCCCCUUCUCCAAUUUCUAAAUUGUUAUUCUGUGUUUUUCCUCACGUUUAAGGUUGACGUUCUCAUUCUCGAACAUGAUAACAACUACAAAAAGUCAGGGAAAUCACAUAUAUGUUUGCCAUCUGUUCAUGCUUAGCUUAGGAUCAAAUUGUGUAGACUUUGCAGUAUCAGGUAGUCCUCUUAAAACAAAUAUCAAAGGAAAACACUUCUGGAUUAUUUCAAUUGGGGAAGUUGCAAAAAACCGUUUAAGUUAGUCGGAUUUGUGUGUUUCAUCCUGGAAUUUUUUGCAGGCUUCUUCCAAACAAAUCACCGAUACUUCCUGCACAGAAGCUGCUGCUCUUUCUUAACUGUAAAGGUCUCCAAUUUAUCGGUCUCGGUUUAAAAAGAAAAUUGUAUCGGGAAUUCUGAAACAGCGUUUAGGUGUAACCACCAAAUUGAAUUUUGGCUUUGUAAGCUAAGGUUUUUCAUAAAUUGAUACGUAACCCCUAAUCAAGCUCACUCCGACUUAACUGGAAUUUUCAUUUUGCAGUGUAUUAAGUUUACACUACCUACCUUUACGUGGGAAUGAUUCUUCAAGAUGCCGAGGUGAUAUAAACUAUUCAUUGUUGAAAUGCACGACAAAACCGGAAUAAAAAGGCCACAUAUGGCUGAACGUGCUGCCUGGUCGAACAGAGCUGGAGUUAAAGACUAAUUGGAAAAGCCGUCUGAAGAGAUGCCACAACACUACUUACCACUUUCCCCUCCUGAAACCCGUGUUCAAGACCGCCACUGGAGUGACGAGUAUACAACGAGUAAUAUAUUUGGGUUGAAAAGGUCUACAAACACAAUUCAAUGACUUCCUACAUUUCAACAUCGAUUACCAGCUUAGCAGUAAGCUACACCCCAGAUUGUGCACGAUGUUUUAAACUUACAACCUCUCUCUGUACACCUUUGUUACUUGUAAUCUGUUUUUGCUAAGCUUAGGACCAAAUUGUGUUGACUUUUCAGAAACAGGUAUUCCUCUUAAAACAAAUUUCAAAGAAAAACAA